rnacentral:ncRNA from 19 species
AAUCAAAAUACUUCAGUAAGGAAAGCAUGGGUGAAAUUCCCACACUGGACCGCAGCCGUAAAGUCGGAAUGCUUAUUGGAGUUGAUGUUACCACGGAAAUCUGGGAGAAAUUUUUAUUAUGAAAAA